GACGAACGCUGGCGGCGUGCUUAACACAUGCAAGUCGAACGGAAAGGCCCUGCUUUUGUGGGGUGCUCGAGUGGCGAACGGGUGAGUAACACGUGAGUAACCUGCCCUCGACUUUGGGAUAACUUCAGGAAACUGGGGCUAAUACCGGAUAGGAGCUCCUGCUGCAUGGUGGGGGUUGGAAAGUUUCGGCGGUUGGGGAUGGACUCGCGGCUUAUCAGCUUGUUGGUGGGGUAGUGGCUUACCAAGGCUUUGACGGGUAGCCGGCCUGAGAGGGUGACCGGCCACAUUGGGGCUGAGAUACCGCCCAGACGCCUACGGGAAGCAGGAGUGGGGAAUAGUGCACUAUGGGCGGGAGCCUGAUGCAGCAACGCCGCGUGCGGGAUGACGGCCUUCGGGUUGUAAACCGCUUUCGCCUGUGACGAAGCGUGAGUGACGGUAAUGGGUAAAGAAGCACCGGCUAACUACGUG
rnacentral:rRNA from 1 species